GGCCUUUUGAUUAUAAUUUAAGGUCUGGCCUGCCCCCUGAGGAGUUAAAUGGUCGCGGAAUUUAACCGUGCUAAGGUAGCAUAAUCAUUAGUUUUUUAAUUGAAAGCUUGUAUGAAGGGUUUGAUAAGAAAAUAACUGUCUCUGUUUUAUUUUAUUAGAAUUUUAUUUUUAAGUUAAAAAGCUUAAAUUUAAUUAAAAGACGAGAAGACCCUAUAGAGUUUUAUAAAUUUAUUAUUAAUUAGUAAAAGUAUAAAUUUUAAAUAUUAAUGAAUUUAUUUAAUUGGGGUGAUUAAAAAAUUAAAUAAACUUUUUUAAAAUUUCUUCAUUAAUUAAUGAUUAUUUGAUCCAUAAGUUAUGAUUAUAAGAAAAAAUUACCUUAGGGAUAACAGCGUAAUUUUUUUUAAGAGUUCAAAUCAAAAAAAAAGAUUGCGACCUCGAUGUUGGAUUAAAAUUUAUUUUUGGUGUAGAAGCUAGAUAUAUUAGGUCUGUUCGACCUUUAAAAUUUUACA
rnacentral:rRNA from 1 species